UCCCCUGCCGGGCUCGAGGGCCCUGCCUCAGGCGCCUGCCCGCUGGCGCCGUUUCCCGCUCCUGCGAGCGCCGGGGGAUCCCCCUCACGGUGCGGGGGCUCCGCGGGCCGCGCUCUGGGGGUGGAGAGGGGAAGGGUGACCCUGGGGGUGGAGGCGGGGGUUGCCUCGUCGUGCUCCUUCGCGCGGCGUGUCGGGGGCACCGACUUGGCUGCGCCCGCGCCCUGGGUUCCCUUCAUCGGGUUCGGGGCGCGCGCACGAGGGAUGGCUGGCGGCGGCGGCGGCGGCCCGGCGACGGAAGGAGGCUCUGUGCGCCUCCAGGAAAGUGCCCAGGUGAGGCGGGCGGGUGUCCCUGAGGCUGCGCAAGCGUUUUCCCUGUUGCCCACAAAGGCGAACGUUGGCCCCACUGGUACCCGAACUGCAGGCCACGGCCCAGCCACGAACUGGCAUCUCCGGAAGUGCCUUGGUGGACCCGCUGGGGAGACGCUGUGUGGGGCGCGAGGCGCCUUUCUCAUGAGAAAGCCUCCUCUAGCGAGCAGAGAGGGAGCCUUGAGUGUGGGACCCCCCAGCCGCUGCUCCUCUCAGGGGUGCGGUUGCCAUGUGGACCACAGCCACAGCCUGUGCCCAGAACCCCUCACGUCUGCCCGAGGGGCACGGCGCCGAGACAGAAGUUAGAGAAAGAAAGUAGAAAGCGGAAAAGAAUUUCUUUACAAAAAGACUUGUCCAAAUUAGGCGAAGUGCAUUUGUAUCUCUAGAGGAAAGGGAGACCAGAGGGAGCAGUUUGAGGACAGAAAGCUGAAAUUUCUUGUUUCACUUGGUGGAUACCAAAGUCAGGCUUGGAAGUCUCUCAGUUCAAAGCGACAGUCAACAGCGUAUGAAGUUUUGAACUAGAUUUAAACAUGCACUACUGGAGAAUCAAGUUUAAGGGCAGUCUCUUUGGUGCAGUUAACUUUGUUUCGGCCACCUGCUGGCUCAGUUGGAGUUAGUUGUGUGACAUAGUGUGUAAGAAGUUAAAAUCAUUCAAGGGAAGAACACUGACUGACAAGCCCUGGAGGGAGGAUGGUUCUAGCUCUGAAGGAGUGUUCCUCAGAUCCCUUCCUGCCAGGCUAUGCGGGUUGUCAGAGUUUCCCAGGGAUGCUUGGGGAUGGGCUCUGUGCCACCAUGGAGGUGUCCCAGAGGAGAUUUUCAUCACUGGCGGAGUGUCGGGGGCAGGGACCCGGCUGCGCCCGCGCCCUGUGUUCCCUUCACCGGGUUCGCGGGCGCGAAGACAGAUGGAAGUGCCAGGUGCAACCCAAAUAUACUUUUGCUCCCCGUGUUAACAACACCCCCCCCCCCCCGCCCUGGUAGGUUUCUUUUUAAAUGCUGAUUUCCUCGUGUCCAUUGUAAAUGUGUCUGUUAGGCCAGGAACUCUUCCCAAGUUUGUGAGAAAAGGGAGGGAGGAGUUAGCAGUGUGUCGUGAUGGAGCAAGUAUUGCCCCAGGAAACAAAGACACCAGAAGAUGCUCUUAAAAAACAAACAAACAAACAAACAAACAAAAAAAUAGACAGAGUGACUGUUUUCCCUUUCUUUUUAAAACUUGUAAGACGCAUUGUCAGAGAAUAUUGUUGUCUGAUAUUUUGGGAAUGCAGUCUGAACAGUUUUCAUUUAGGAGCCUUUAAUUUGUUAGCAAUGUUAUGUCUAUGGUUCUUCCCUGUCGUCAUAAUUAGGAAGUGCUGAAGGCGAUCUCUGCAGGGCUUUUCUGUAUGCUACCUCAAUACUCUGUGUCUUCUAGGGUAGAUAUUAUUAUUAUGAAUAUCCUCAUUUUAUGGGUGAGGAACCUGAGGCUCUGAGAGUCGAAGGAGCUUGCUAAAAUGCAGUGCGAACAAAAAACAGAGAGGCUAGAAGCUGAUGUCCGAAGGACUCCAAAUUCCUGCUGGCUUUUUAACAUAUGGCAUGCUGCCUCGUUCAUGAAGUACCCUCAGGUUUCCUUCGAGAGUGGUGGGGGAUCUAGGCAGGGAGAGACUUGGGCAGUGAAUCAGAAACAGAAAAUGGGGAUGAGUGGGUUUGAGGGAGAAGGAACCUAGAAGCAAGCUUCCUUCCCUAGCAAAGAGGAUCAGUUAUUUUGGCCAUCUUAAGGAUUCUUCCCUUGGGUUGAGCACCUGCUUCACCUUUGCAGUCUUUCCUUGUUUCCCUCACAUUUUCAGACUCUCAGGAAAAGGUCUGAAAAUGAUGAAAAGCACUGCGUUCUUGGUGUGGAAUCCAGGGGAGGUGAGAAACAAUGGAGCUUUUUGACUCGCAGCUGGCUUGUGCAUAAAGAUGUCAUUGGCAAGGAGGUAGACAGCCUGGAGAGAUCUGUUCCUGUCCCCGAAUCAAAAAGCAAAGCAGAAACGUUUUCCAGGAAAGUGUUCCUGGAGGAAGCCUGCUAGAAACAUCCAUAAGAAGGGGUCUCGGACGUUCCUAUGCUGUGUUCGUGGCCCUCACAUCCCAGACUCGCAAACACCCAGAACGACACAUGGCGCUUAGAAACGGGAGGCUGGCUGAUUGUUUUAUUGGUAAAUUGAAGAUAGCUUGCCUCGUUCCAAUGUCAUGGCCUUCUGAAGGACAGGUGUCUCCCUACUCAUUGUCUGAAACAAACAAAAAGGAAGUUCAGAGCGGUUUGGCCGGUGGUUCCUUGUCCCUACCGGUAAUUGGCAAUUGAAGGAGGUCGGUGAGAGCCCAUCUUCUCUCUCUCUUCUUCUUCCUCCUCUCCAUUCCUUCCUAAUUCCUCUUUGUGUAUGGUUUGUAUGCAGCUAACAGAGAGUGGGCUCAAAAUUGUUGCUUGCAAGAUGAAUGAAAAAGAUCUUCUGAAGUUCUUUAGCUCUUGAGUGCUGUGGAUGAUUCUUAGUACGUCUUUACAGAACUAUUCACUGGAACCUAUCCUAUAGCAGCAAAAGCCUGCAUCCAGCCUAAGUGUCCACUGAUGGCGGUUUGCUUAAAGGGAUCAUGGCACAGCCAGGCGAUGGGCUGGGGUAGACUUGAAAAGAAAAGGGAGAGGGGCCAACUUGAUCCCUGUGGCUCUGGGCAACGACAUGGACGUGUUCUGCGAAAUAAGUAAUUUGAAGUGAGCAGCGUAUAGGGCUGCAUAUGAAGUAUGAGAGCACUUGUGGAUCAAAGAAGAGGGUAGGUAUUUAUAGAGGCCUAAGCGCUUCCAAGGGUUGUUCACAAGACUUGACUGUGGUGGCUUUGGGGGAAGCUUGUGGGGAGGGAAGAUGUGAUCUGCCUUUGCAAUUUGGCCUCAUAUCUUUGUUUUUGGUUCUCUUUUCUGUUCCCUUGAAUGUAAGUGAAUGUAAUAGGAAAUAUUUAAAAGACCUGGAAAACACCGACCAGGAUGAAAGCUAAGGUGUCAUUGGCAGCACCACUGGACCUGAUAGGCCUGGCCAGCUGGAAACCUGAGAUGGGAAGGCACUGAGCCUGAGGAGGAGGAGGAGGAGGAGGAGGAGGAGGAGGAGGAGGAGAGGAGAGGACGAAAGGCAGACGCUGCUCUACUUGCUCAUUACCAGCCCACAUGAAGAAGGUAGUCAUCGGGGAAGAGGCAGUUUGGGGGCCAUGGUUCUUACAGUCAGAAUCGCCCUGGCCGGUCUGUCAAAAAUAUGCAGGCUUGCUCCUCUCUAGCAGGGAACGGAAUAGAAGUCAUUAGAACUGGUAUCCAGGACUGUGCAGUUUCAAGCUGUUUCUGGUUGAUUCCAUGACACGUUAAAGUUUCAGACCUGUAAGGCUUAGGGCCCUCGAUCCUCCCUGUCACUGAGUUCCAGAUUACCGGGGUGGCUGUCCUGGGCGGGCCUUUAUGGUUUCCCCCCUGGGUGGGGGUGGUCUGUGGUGUUCUCAGGAGGAGGUGGAGGAGGAUGGUGAUGCUGAUGAUGGUGUGCUGGUGGGGUGGUCUCUGCUGAGCUCCAUCACCUUGUGGGGGUGGUCCUACGUUGGUCCAUCACCUUGGUCUUCACCAUUAGGUGGAGGUCUCUGCGGUGGUCCUCCAGGUCCUCCGGGAGGUGGGCUGGGAAACUGCUCCUGGGAGCUCUGAUUUGAGUUGUGUACAUCUGUUGUAAGGUAUGGCACAGGAAUAGAGGAACUAGGGGAAGGAAAGGGUUCCUCUCAUUUUGGUCUCUGGUCACCCCAUCAGGCAGUCUCUUCCUUUUGAACCUGCCUCUCCACUAUCGACUUCCCUCCCACCCACAGCGUUAUUUGGCAGUACUCCUAUUCAUUCAGACACUAGAAAUGUUGCAUCUUAGUUCUUUGCUCUAGAGACAAACGAAAUUGCCUUAAAUUGGGCAAAAAAAGAAGUCAUGGAAUUCUUAGGUUUCCUAGAGGUUGUUUCCAAGGAAAGAAGAAAAGCAAAGAGAUUAUCAGUGUCAGUUAUGAUGGCCCUUACAUUUGGAGACAGUGACAGGGCUUGCCAACUGUGACUCCAAGUCUGGCCACUUGAGUGCAUCAGGGGAGCCCUCAUGCUCCAAGACUGGAUGAAGAAAUACUAAGAGCAAGUGAUGGCCUACACAGGAUUCACUAAAUAACUGUGGCCAGUGUUAAUUAGAUAUGAGGACACAUUUGAAUGGAGCAGCACAGAAAGAGGGAACCAGACCCCAGUUCUUUGCAUUUUUCCAUAAACCAUAUACGUAUACCGAGGGGCAUUGGGGACAACGAGAACACUGGAAGGCUUGGUGCUCAGUAGACUGGAGGAGGCAGAAUUUGAGCUGCUUCCCUCUGCUCUCCUCCCUCAGCUGUCAUUUCUGGCCUGAGGGAGCAGGCCGCAUACUCUGUGGCAUCCAAGCUACACAUCUCUGUUAUGCACCUUAGGGCCCUGCUCGUGGGUCCCUGAGUCGCGGCUGGUAAAGAAUGGCCUAUAUCCUCUGGGAUACUAACAUUCAUCCAGUCGUGACAAGACACUCUAGAACAGAGCAGUUGCUAAAGAUAAAAACAGAAAGGAAGUCGAUGGAGGAUUUGAGGUGACCUAUCUGGUAGGAGGCUGGGAAAUCCUGCACUGUUGCCUUCAAGGAAGAAAAGCGCAAGAUAAAGCGCAAAACGCAUGCCAGAUGCCUUGGAAGAUGCCCCAAGUACCUUGUCCACACACCCUUUGCAAGAUGCCGUGGCAAAGGGAGGACGACGUGAAGGGGUGACGGGGUGGUUCUUAUGCUGAGGGUCCACCACAGACUCCAAAGAGAGGAGGCCCUGGGUUUUCGUUUUGGUUUGGUUUUCCUGUCCCCCUGGUUUCCGGUCUACCCUCAUGCUGGUUCAGGUAAAGUGCUGGGUGUUUCUGUGUCUUAUUUUCCUGUCCUUCUGCUCUCCCUCCACAUGAGACACUUGACCUACAUUAACAUGGCCUCACCCAGGUGGGGUGACCGGGAGUCAACACGCGGGUACCACCUUCCACAGCACUAUGGAACGGGGCGUGUGAAUGGGAGCAAAUUGCAACCCCUGGGCCCUGGGAUCUCUGUGUCUCUGUGGAGAGUGAGCUAGAGAGAUUGAGGGUCCUGAUCCCUUUCGCUUCAGUAAAAAGUCUGACCCGGGCGUCCCUCCUGCAUGUGUGUGACCCCCUCUCGCGAGGCCACCUUCUCCCCCUGCCUGCUCUGAUGACUGUAAUGCCUUCCUGAGGACACUUCUCUGUAUUGGUCGGGCCUCCCUGCAGUGCAUCCCUCACAGUCGAGUCAGUGAGACGUGUGCAGAAAUGCCAGUCUUCCCUUGUCAGUCUGUGGUUCAAGACUCUGUACGGGGUUCCAGGUACACUUUAUGUAGCGUCAGCCAGGGUGUGAGGGGCCUUAUCCUUGCCUUAAGCACCUGCAGCCCAGGCUUUCCACCUCCCCGCCCCUUCUCUACCAGCACCCUCACUCCCGUGGCAUCUAACGAACCCCACGCAGAGUCUCAGCAACGCCCCCCCCCCCUUCUUGGUGCUUACCAAAAAACGGGCUCCGAGCUGAGCUCAGGGCCAGCAAGGCCACUGAGAGCAGGAUCGGCAGCAUCUUGGAGGAAGUGCUGCGGUUGUUCUCAGCUCCGUCCUGGGAGAAUCCAGGCAGCUUCCUUUAUAAAGACCAGCAGGACAAUGGUAUCUUUGAGCUCCGUGCUGGGCGGACCUCAUCACUGGAUGGAAAGGUUAGAGCUGAGCUUUAGCCCAGCAGGAUGGAGGGGGUAAGAGGGUGUCCGUGUGUCAUUUCUCAAAGGUGCAGCAUGUGACUUGAGCCCGAGUUGUGAAGGAACAGUGUCCAAGCCAUCGGCGCAGACGUCAAAGUUGUUCUGUCAUCCUUUGACUGCCAUCUGUUCCCUGAGACUGUUGCUCUGUCCUUCGUGGAGCUGUUGGUGUGUGGGCUGUGCAUGUGUCUGCGUGUCUGUGUGUUGGCCGUGAUCCUGUAGCCCAGACGACGCUGGUCAAUAUCUCUGGCCAUGAUCGUGGCCCGGGCUCCAUCACUCAUGGCCUGUCUGUCCAUAUGUAUAUGCUAGGUAGCAAAACGUCUUGCUGAUACACACAUCCUCUCUGUCUGUCUUUGAAACGUAUGUGGAAAAGUGCUGUCGUGCACACACGGGUGGCGGAAGGCUGAGCCUCACUCAGCCUGCCCGGGCCCCCAGAGGUCGUCCGGGAGGCUCUCCCUCCACUUGGUGGUGUGGAACAAAGGUGACCCGAUACUCUUCCUUCGUAUAAACAGCCUUCGGUGUGCUGGUAUUUACCGAAGGCAAAGGUAGACACAGAACACUCCGGGGACCUUCUGGGACAGCACCAAAUGCAUACACAGUUCCUUGAAUGGAUCAUGUCAUUGCAUGUGUACAAGACUUUGUGCCGCUUCUUUUGUAAGAGUCCAUGUCCCUCCUUCCUGCUAAGCAGUGUUUUCAACUCUUGUUCCCCACUGACUGUUCAGUGGCCACGCUUAUGCCAUCUUGCUGGGCAAACGGCUGUUCCCUUCAAAACCUCCAUGGCAUCGUCUUGCCCUUCACUUCUUCCGUCAGUUUCCUUGGUAGCAACUGUGUUCUCGGAUCGUUGUUCAUCACGGGGAAUUUUCUCUGCAAAGUUCUGCCACUCGUUUCUCCCCAUCCCCUAUCUGAAACUUAUUUGCUGAUGUUAUAUCACCUUUUCAACCCUCUCUGAUUUAAUGUAGAGUUUCACCUCCGUUUGGUUUGUGCUGUGCAUUUGGGGAGGAGGUUUUUGGGGGGCGGGACUUGUUUUGUUUUGUAUUUAUGUGUUUUGUUUUGUAUUUAUGUGUUUUGUUUUGUUUUUGUCUUUUGUCUUUUUAGGGCUGCACCCAAGGCAUAUGGAGGAAUCCCAGGCUAGGGAUGGAAUCAGAGCUCUAGCUGCCAGCCUACCCCAUAGCCACAGCAAUGCGGGAUCCUAGCUGCGUCUGUGACCUACACCACAGCUCCCGGAAACGAGGGAUCCUUAAUCCACUGAGCAAGGCCAUGCAUCAAUCCCACGUCCUCAUGGAUCCUGCUCAGGUUCGCUAACCACUGAGCCACGACGGGAACUCCUUUUUGGUGUUUUAUGGCCGCACCUGAGGCAUAAUAAAUUUCCCAGCCUAGGGUUUGAAUUGGAGGUGCAGCCACGGACACAGCAACACCAGAUCCAAGCCGCCUCUGUGACCUACACCACAGCUCACAGCAACACCAGAUCCUUAACCGAAAUUAUUCCAAAAAAUCACAGAGGAAGGGACACUCCCAAACUCAGUCUAUGAAGCCACCAUCACCCUGAUACCAAAACCAGACAAAGAUACCACACCAAAAGAAAAUUAAUUACAGGCCAAUGUCACUGAAGAACAUAGGUGCAAAAAUCCUCAACAAAAUACUAGCAAACUACAUCCAACAAUACAUUAAAAGGAUUGUACAUCAUGAUCAAGUGGGAUUUAUCCCAGGGAUGCAAGGAUUCUUCAAUAUUUGCCAAUCAAUCAGUGUGAUACACCACAUUAACAAAUUGAAGAAUAAAAACCAUAUGAUCCUCUCAGUAGACGUGGAAAAAGCCUUUGACAAAAUCCAACACCCAUUUCUGAUAAAAACCCUUCAGAGAGUGGGCAUAGAGGGAACCUACCUCAACAUAUUAAAGGCCAUAUAUAACAGUCCUAGGGCUACCAUCAUUCUCAAGGGUGCAAAGCUGAAAGAAUUCCUGCUGAGAUCAGGAACAGGACAAGGAUGUCCGCUCUCACCACUACUAUUCAACAUGGUUUUGGAAGUCCUAACCAUGGCAAUCAG
rnacentral:lncRNA from 1 species